rnacentral:lncRNA from 1 species
UCCAAGGUGUUUUGUUUUGAAGGGAAUUAAAAGAACAGACCAUGAACUUCUGUGCCAUGGGGCAACAGAGCCAAUGUCACAUACUAGAAAAAGAGAAAUCAUGGCCAAUAUUUUGAAAGCGAGGAGUGUUUUUGUUUUUUAAAAUCAGUGUUCCCUUUUUAUAUCUUUACAAAGAAAAAAGACCUUCCACGGCUGGUGACCGUGCAGCCUGUGAAGUACGGGCAGCUGCUCCAAGUUGACUAACCGUGGGAGCGGUAGUGGCCGCACACACCAGCAGCCAGGUGCACUGCGUUCCCUUGCAAUCGGAUGGUAGAACCCGUUAUUUCCGUG